rnacentral:misc_RNA from 1 species
GUAGGUGAACCUGCGGAAGGAUCAUUACCAAUCCAAAUCUCAACCCCAUGUGAACUGUUGUUUGUCUGUCUUUGGGGGGGCUCCUUCAAGCUUUCUCGCAAAGCUUUUUGCUUGCCCCCCCAUGUUUACGCUAAACCACAUUGGUCUCUCGUUGGAAUACUUUUAUUGGCAACAAUAAAGGACAACUUUUAACGGUGGAUCUCUUGGCUCGUGCAUCGAUGAAGAACGCAGCAUCUGACUGACUGAACUG